rnacentral:tRNA from 1 species
AAGGAUUUAAGUUAAUAUAAACUACGAGCCUUCAAAGCUCAAAAUAAAGACCCGCUUUAAGCCUUA